UACGUAGGCAGCGAGCGUUGUUCGGAGUUAUUGGGCGUAAAGGGCGCGUAGGCGGUUGGAUAAGUCUUGUGUGAAAUCUUCGGGCUCAACUCGAAGUCUGCACGAGAAACUAUCUGGCUUGAGUGUGGGAGAGGUGAGUGGAAUUCCUGGUGUAGCGGUGAAAUGCGUAGAUAUCAGGAGGAACACCUGUGGCGAAAGCGGCUCACUGGACCACAACUGACGCUGAGGCGCGAAAGCUAGGGGAGCAAACAGG
rnacentral:rRNA from 1 species